UAAUAUAAACGGACUUUCCCCGGCAGCUGAAGGCAGAUAAUUCUGAAACAAGGGAAGUAUAAAUUAAUUUUAAUGGGAGUGAGAAGAAGUGAGUGUGGAGUGAGGACCAGGUUCCAACUAUGACCAACCAGAAUUUGCAUCAAGCCACAAAGCGGUCGCUGCCUUUCAUGUCCGCUUUUGCACUCUUCACCAAGCUUCCCUUCAGCUGCAGAGAAACCAAACCGUUCGAUAUUUCGUUUUCUCCACUGCAAAGAGUCAGACAAUGAGAGUCAAGAAUUUAGGAGCAGCUUGGCUGAGUGGUUCCAACUUGAGGUUCCCCAUGAAAUUACAGGUCUGGAGAUGUGUGCACCUCUGAAGAACACGCAGUGAAGAACUGAGGCCUCCACAAGGGUAAAAUAAUAGAAGGCUCUCAACUUGUAAGCCCUAACCGUAACAUAAUGUUCAGCUGUUCAAAGGACACAUUCUGAGUCAUAAUAGUGGCAUUUAGAGGCCAUCAGUCUACUGCAUUGUGACCUUUUGAGAACCAUAACUUCAUUGUGUGUAACUUGUUCCUACUUUCCAACAUCUCAUUUUAUUAUCAUUAUAAAUCAUGUGCAUUUUCUGAGAACUUUAAUUUUCAGGUUGCCAUAAAUAAAAAAAAACGAAGCUCUUCUUUAGAGUUAUAACAACCAGUUGCCCAUGAAGUCAAAUAAAAAUAAAUUACAGUCAAUGAAAGAGCUUAGUAAGUAUCUUAACUGUUCUUGACUACUCUUUCCCAAGAUUAGAAUCAUUUCACAGUACGACAGAAUGUUAAGCAAAGUAAAAAUAUGUAUGUUGGCUCCCAUACAGGGCCUUGCCUGUCUUUGUAAGCCUAAAUGGCUACUGAUCACAUUUUAAGGUCAGUGAAAAGUAAUCUCAAGUUUCACCUGACUUAAGCUGAAGAGAAUAAACAGAACAAUGAGUAAGUAGAAGGAAAUUCUGAGAUAUGAAGGUUUGGGGGGGUGGUUUACUGAGAUGACUUUGAGGGGUAGAGAAUGAUAGAAACUAGUUUUCACUUGUCCAAGGUUUUAUUCAUUCUCCAUAAUGCAGGUUUAUUGUAACUUGAUCUGUAUUCAGUCAUUUUUCUAUCAAUGUAUAUUAUCAUUUUGACUUGUUUUUAACACCCCAUUCUUUUUGAAAAUUAGAAAAUACUUGGGCUCAAUAUUGGAUCUCUAUGGGAGAUUAGCAAUUUAAUAUAGCAGAAGGCUAUAUUGCAAAGCUGCAACAAGAGCUCGGUUGACGGAAAGUAUAAGAAGUGUGUAUAUGGUCAAAGGGGGUCUCAGACAUCUCAUGGAUGAUAACAGCCUACACUGAGCCUUCUUCAGGUUUCUAGACAUAUCAGUGACUAAGAACCUAAGGAUAGUAAUUUUGGAAAACUUUCCACAAUUUGAUAAAAUGUGCCAUAUUUUCAUUCCUAUAAUCUGUUUCAUAUAUUUAAUGCCUGCGGUAAAGCAUUUCUCAAGUGUUCUAUGGGCACUUACGAAUACUUUCGUGAGGAUAAAAUGUAAAAGUAGCUUAUUGUUCUAGCGAGUUCUUCUUGGUGGUUAGUACUGUGGGCAUUUCACAUGAAAUUUCCAAUCUGGCCAUCCAUAUGUUGGUAUAGUCUUUCCCAAAUGUUGGUUUACCAUAACAGAAACAGUCCAGAUAUUGUCUCAAGGAGAAGUUUGGCAUAAUGUACAGUGUAUCUGUAAACAAUCAAGAGCCAAUGAAACAAAUUACAAAACUGCCUUUGGAUGUUUAUUGCACAUGGCACCUAUGAUUGUAUUGAGAAAAUUGCAGGGAACAUAAUAAUAGUUUUAAAAUACCAUUAUAUGUGUUGAGGUAAUUGGAGACAUAGCUAAGUGUCAUAGACAAAACUGUAAAAUCAUUAGUAUACAUAUGGUUUAUUUUCUUUUUCUCUCUCUUUUUUUUUUCAUAAUGGCUCAAGGAAGUGAUUUUGACCAAGAGGAUUGGAGGGUUAUUUUGCUUAAGUAUAGUUUUGAUUCAAUACUGGAAAAUGCCAUUCCUAUAUACCUACACUCAACUUCCAGUGAGUGGAAGUUUUUAUCUUCAUUUAAAAAUAUGAUUAUGUUGGGCGCCUGGGUGGCUCAGUUGGUUAAGUGACUGCCUUCGGCUCAGGUCAUGAUCCUGGAGUCCCGGGAUCGAGUCCUGCAUCGGGCUCCCUGCUCGGCGGGGGGUCUGCUUCUCCCUCUGCCCUCUUCCCUCUCGUGCUCUCUGUCUCUCAUUCUCUCUCUCUCAAAUAAAUAAAUAAAAUCUUUAAAAAAAUAUGAUUAUGUUGGAUAUACUCUUAUUUCAGAAGUUUUAGUUUAGAAAAGAAAAUACAUAUUACCCACUACACUUUAAGACAGACUUUUUUACUUAGUUUAAUCCUGAAGCAUACUAAUACUUACAUUAAAAUAAGUCAAGAUCUCAGCAAACUGGGAAUAGAAGAGAACAUCUUCAACUUGAUAAAAAAAUCUACAAAAAGCCUACAGCUAACAUCAUACUUGGUGGUGAGAAAUUAAAUGCUUUCCCACUAAGCUCAGGGACAAGGCAAGAAUGUCCUCACUACUCCUUAUUCAACAUGGUGCUGUAAGUCCUUGCUAAUCCAGUAAGAACAAUAAAAAAUAAAAAAAAAUUAAAAAAAGACAUCAAAGGUAUACCAUUUUAGAAGGAAGAAAGAAAACUGUCUUUGUUCACAGAUGACAGGAUUAUCUAUGCAGAAAAUCCCAAAGAAUAACAGAAAAAUUCCCAGAACUAAUAAGCAGUUAUAGCAAGGUUACAAGAUCAAGGUUAAUAUACAAAAGCUAAUUACUUUCAUAUACACCAACAAUGAACAAUUGGAAUUUGAAAUUGAAAACACAAUACCAUUUACACUAGCACAAAAAAGAAAAGAAAAAUAAGUAUAACAAAAUAUAUCUAAGAUCUAUAUGAGGAAAACUAGAAAACUGUGAUGAACAAAAUCAAAGAAGAUUUUUUAAAAAGAUCUUAUUUAUUUGUCAGAGAGAGAAAGAGAGAGAGAGAGCACAACAGGGAGAGAGGCAGGCAGAGAAGCAGGCUCCCCAGUGAGCAAGGAGCCCGAUGUGGGACUCAAUCCCAGGAUCUUGGGAUCAUGACCUGAGCCAAAGGUAGAUGCUUAACUGAUUGAGCCACCCAGGGGUCCCAAAAUCAAAGAAGAUUUAAAUAAAUAAAUAGAUUUUCCAUGUGGAUUGGAAAACUCAAUAUUUGUUGUCUGUUUUUCCUGAGUUGAUCUAUAGAUCCAAUACAAGCCCAAUUGAAAUCUGUUAUUUUGUAGAUAUUGACAAACUGAUGCUAAAGUUUAUAUAAAAAGGCUAAAGGCCCAGAAUGCCAGUAAAAUAUUGAAGGAGAAAUAUAAAGUUGGAGGAUUAACACUACUGAACUUGAAGAUUUUCAACAAAUGGUGCUGGAACAACUGGAUAUCCACAUAUAAGAAAAAAAAGAUUCUAGACACAGAGUUUCACAAAAAUUAACUCAAAAUGGAUCAUAGACCUGGAUGUAAAAGGAAAAGCUAUAAAACUUCCAGAAGAUAACAUAGGAGAAAAUCUAGUUGAUCAUAGCUUUGGUGAUGACUUUUUAGAUACUAUACCAAGGCAUGGUCCAUGAAAAAAACAAAACAAAAAACAAAACAGAAGUUGGACUUCAUGAACAUUAAAAACUUCUCUGUAAAAGGUAUUUUAAGAGAAUUCAAAGUUAAACCACCAACUGGGAGAAAAUUCUUUGCAAAACAUAUAUCUGAUAAAGGGCUGGUAUCCAAAAUAUACAAAGAACUCUUAAAAUUCAACAAUAAGAAAACAAACAGUCUAAUUUUAAAAAUGAGCAGAAGAUCUGAACAGACACUUCACCAAAGAAGAUAAGCAGGGAGAUUACUGACAUCAUUUAUCAUUUAGGGAAUUGUAAAUUGAAACAGUGAGAUACCACUACAUACCUAUCAGAAUGGCUAAAGUUGAAAACACAUAACAUCAAAUGCUGAUGAGGAUGUGGAG